UACUCUGCUUCAACUGCUUAUGUCUUUCACUCAGAGUAUUUGCUGUGCUUAUGUGCAUGCAUUUUUCCGUCACUGCCAUGGAUAAUUGAAUAGAUUUGGGGAAAUAUUGCCAUUGGGAAAUGAAAUAAAUUUGAGCAAUAAUACACAGCCUUGUAGGUUCUGAAGUUAUAUAGUAUGGAAACUCAAGACAGAUAUUCUUAUCACAUCCUUUAAAGUGUUAGGCUUUUUUUUUAACUGAUGUUUAUUUUGCAGCCACAGAAAUUUAAAUCUGUUCAUCACAUAGUUUUGUUGCUCACUCCUAGAACAAAGCUGGCCAGGGGCUUGAAUUAUUUCUUACAGAUUUUACGUUUUUGACAGAAUGAAACUAAGUGAUCUCCCACAGACGAAGUAUGUCUUGAAAGUAUGUUUUAGUGCACUGUUGUGGAAACAUUGUACAAUGCUAAAGGUUAAGUAUUUCAGUUUUGUGGAAGGAAUGUGUAUCUACUUUGCUUUAUAUUUUUGAUAAAAUUUCGCUAUUGAUGGAAAUUGAAAGAGUAGUGUGGAACUAAGUUUGGGAGGUACAUCAGUGGCCAUAUACGAUUUGGGCUUUGGCAGAAAGAUCUCUCCACGUCACCGAUGAUGAGAGGCUCUCACAAGGAAACACUGCUUUUGACAAUGUAGGAAGAUUACUGGUUCUCUACCUUGGCCCCAUCUUAUCCUAUCCUAUAUCUUUUUCCCUCGUUAUGGAAGAAGCCGACCUGUGGACACAUUUACAGGGAUUAUCUGGCUCUGCUACUCUUCCUCGGAGCAAGAAAACUGGAAAAAGAAAACUACAGUGAACUUAGGCUCUCCACAAUAGGCAUCUCAAGAUGAUUUUGUCCAAUGAGGAGGUUGAGCAGCCAACAAGAGUAUUACACUCCAAAGUCAUAGAAUGCUGUUAGAUGUUCCUGCUGUCUUUGAUCCUGCUAGUCAUUCAGUGAAAUUCCACUGCCAUGACAGGGCAACAGAAAUUCAAUUUCUGAUUUCAUUGGAAGUAAUGACUAUGUUGUUUAUGUACAUACUGUGAUUGAGUUGGAACAUGUGGUACUAAAAAAAAUUAGACUUCUUUUUGGCAGCUAGGAGCUAAUGUUCACCAGGAAAGCUUUAUUCCGAAUGGAAAAAUGAAAUGCACACUUUAAAAUUAAAAUAUGUUGUUCCUGAUUUUAUAUUCUAAAUUUGUUGUAUAUUGCUGUUGAUUAUAGCUUGACUCUGCUGUCAGAUACUACGAAUAGAUUUGUAAGAAUAAGCUUUAACAAGGUUAAAUUAUUGUCCUUUGUUGAAUUUCUAUCUGUCCAAUGAUGUUUUACAUUCCUUCCCCAAGAGAAGAACUGGUAUACUGAAGACAAAAGCUACUGCUUCCCUGUUGUUAGACAAAAUUUUUUAUGGAAGUAUUGCACUGCAUAAUUGUUGAUUCUUGAGACUGAACAGUUUUGCCCAGACUGCAUGAACUGUACUUCUUUUUUUAUACAGCAGUUUACAUUCUUCUGUGUCAGUAGCCGUAGAAAUAACAAUGUUGUUGUUGAUAAUGCUAGUCUAAAAAUUUCUAUAUACUUCAUGUUACUGAACUGAUACAAUUGUACGAGACGUGUUUUGAUUGAUGUGUGAUGUUUAGAGACAAACAUGUCAGGAUAUGACUUGACAAUGUUGCUCAAUGGUUUUUACCAAGACAGAAAGUAAUGUGUGUGACAAAACAGCAAAUCUUUCACAGUAGAAAAUGUAUGUGUCGAAUAGUAUUGUACAUUUAUCAUUUUUUACGAGGAGGUGAAAAAAUAUGUAAUGCUGAAUGUUAUUGGUCUCAGUUAUGAUUAAUAUUUAUCUGAAUUCACUUAUAAUUUAACUUAUUUGAUCUGAAAUUAUCUAAUAAACACUGUAAUGCAUUUUAAAAUGUAAUGUACACACAAUAAAAUAAUUUCUCUCAUGUAA